rnacentral:misc_RNA from 1 species
GGAAACUCUACACAGUGAAACAAACCAUAGCCUUGUCGGUUAGGAAAGUAUGGAUCAUAGAAUGUCUUGAAUAUAACCAUCAUCAUGUUUAUGACAAAAAUGACGUUUUACUUUGGAAUGGGCAGGCAAGGAGGUCCGUAGGGCUAGUUUGGACUGUCACAAUGAAAGCAACGACGUUAGCCGUUAUCCUGAUCAUUCUUGGAAUGUUCGUUUUGCAAGAUGCCGAUGCAGGUUUUAUUUGCCCAAAUAACGAGUACUUGUGUAAGAGGCACUGUCAGAGAAUAGGAUGUCGUUCGGGCUAUUGUGAUAUUAGGACUUUUUAUCUAAGAUGCACAUGUACCGGCUGUAGACAUUUAGAUGACAUGGCAUAUAUGACAGAUGAAUAAUGAUGAAAAUCAUCAUGACAGAUGAAUAGGCAGUUCAUGUCUGUUCCUAUAAAAUGUAUAUUUCUAUUAAAUUCAGUAAAUUUCAAUGAAUUUGAAUAAAGUCAAUGACAUGAG